rnacentral:misc_RNA from 1 species
GAUUUUGAUCAGUACACCCCCGGUGGUUUCUGUAAUGUACCCCCUUCCCGUGGGGAAGUCUAUGAAGUAGUCCUGUACUUUGGGAUCAUUGACAUUCUGCAGGAUUAUGAUAUUAGUAAGAAGCUUGAGCAUGCUUACAAAUCGUUGCAAGUUGACCCUGCCUCAAUCUCAGCUGUCGAUCCAAAGCUCUAUUCAAAGAGGUUUCGGAAUUUCAUAGGCAGAAUUUUUGUUGAAGACAGGUGAUAAGGGCAAGAAAACAAAAAAGGAUGUUACAUUAUAGAGAUUCUUUCAUUGAAUCUGGAAAAUCCCAACUGGUAAAGCACAGUGCCUGGAAUGAGCGGCAGCAGCAGCACGCGGUGAUCAUAGUCAGAGAAAUUAUUCAUUUUGGCUGCAAUGGUACACGGCCGAAGACAUUCUUGGCCUCAUUCAUGGUUGGGGUUUGUUAGUGGCUGAAUUUUAUGGAUCAGCCACUGGUUGAGUUGAGUGUAAGUCUUCUGUAUAUUCCCA